GACGAACGCUGGCGGCGUGCUUAACACAUGCAAGUCGAACGAUGAAGCCGGAGCUUGCUCUGGUGAAUUAGUGGCGAACGGGUGAGUAACACGUGAGUAACCUGCCCUUGCCUCUGGGAUAACUGAGGGCAACUGUAGCUAAUACCGGAUACGACCCUCGGAGGCAUCUCCUGGGGGUGGAAAGAAUUUCGGUCAAGGAUGGACUCGCGGCCUAUCAGCUAGUUGGUGAGGUAAAAGCUCACCAAGGCGAUGACGGGUAGCAGGGCUGAGAGGAUGAACAGCCAGACUGGAACUGAAGCGCAGGACAGACUCCUACGGGUGGCAACAGUGGGGAAUAUUGCACAAUGGGCACAAGGCUGAUGCAGCAACGCCGCGUGAGGGAUGACGACCUUCGGGUUGUAGACCUCUGUUAGCAGGGAAGAAGCGAAAGUGACGGUACCUGCAGAAAAAGCACCGGCUAACGACGUGCCAGCCGCCGCCGUAA
rnacentral:rRNA from 1 species